rnacentral:misc_RNA from 1 species
ACCCUGAUUGCUUUUAGAAAUUUCAUCUGGAGUUCCAGGUUUGAUGUUCCAAGCUUCAUUUGCAUAAUCUUGCUUCUUUCCCAACACUUCAGAUCGCAGCAACCCUCUCCCCAACACCUUAGAAGGAGGAGCAAAUAUAGAGCCAAAAAUCCCAGUAGAAGAUGUAGAAUCCUUGGAGCCAAAGAGCUCAGAAGUGAAAGAGGAAGACGAGGCCACCUUCUUUUCCUCCAUUUCUCACCCUUCCUUAAACCUCUUUAUUUCUAGCACUUAUAUGUGUGUGAAUACACUGAACUAAGAUACCAAUACCAACACCAACCCGUCAAAGAUAAAGAGACGGUAGUAUAACAAGUGAUGAGUUUUUCGCA